CAUAUACUCGCUUCAUUCCGAAUUACUUGUCACAGGUAUGGAUGUAUCUACAUGUAUUUUAGUUCUAGAUACAUCCAUUUCUACGACGAGUAAUUUGGAACGGAGGGAGUACCUU
rnacentral:pre_miRNA from 1 species